rnacentral:rRNA from 1 species
UGAUUAAGCCAUGCAAGUCGAGAGGGUUCAGACCCUCGGCGGACUGCUCAGUAACACGUGGAUAACCUGCCCUAAGGUGGAGCAUAACCCCGGGAAACUGGGGAUAAUACUCCAUAGAUUAGAGACACUGGAAUGUUCUUUAGUCGAAAGUUCUGGCGCCUUAGGAUGGAUCUGCGGUCGAUUAGGUUGUUGUUGGGGUAACGGCCCAACAAGCCUGUAAUCGAUACGGGUUGUGGGAGCAAGAGCCCGGAGAUGGAAUCUGAGACACGAUUCCAGGCCCUACGGGGCGCAGCAGGCGCGAAAACUUUACAAUGCAGGAAACUGUGAUAAGGGAACUCCGAGUGCCCGUAUACGCGGGCUGUCCAGGUGUUUAAAAAUCAUCUGAAGAAAGGGCCGGGCAAGACCGGUGCCAGCCGCCGCGGUAAUACCGGCGGCUCGAGUGGUGGCCACUAUUAUUGGGCUUAAAGCGUCCGUAGCUGGACCGAUAAGUCUCUUGGGAAAUCCGCCGGCUCAACCGGCGGGCGUCUAAGGGAUACUGUUAGUCUAGGGACCGGGAGAGGUGAGAGGUACUCCGGGGGUAGGAGUGAAAUCCUGUAAUCCCCGGGGGACCACCGAUGGCGAAGGCAUCUCACCAGAACGGCUCCGACAGUGAGGGACGAAAGCUGGGGGAGCGAACCGGAUUAGAUACCCGGGUAGUCCCAGCCGUAAACUAUGCGCGUUAGGUGUACUGGUGACCACGAGUCACCGGGGUGCCGAAGGGAAACCGUGAAACGUGCCGCCUGGGAAGUACGGUCGCAAGGCUGAAACUUAAAGGAAUUGGCGGGGGAGCA